rnacentral:SRP_RNA from 1 species
CUAAGGGCUAGGUGUGGGUGGCUAGGCCUCACCUCUAUCGGAGAAUGGUCUUUAUCCGAGCCAAACGUCCUGGGGCGGCAAGUUAGUUACGUGCUGUCUUGUUAGUCGGUGUAGAAGUACAGCCUUGCUUGGUGCUGUAUUUUGGAAAUCCGCUAGGCCGGGAACGGAGCAACGGUAACCUUAGUGCGGUAUGCUUGUAAGAUACUGUAUGGAGCUGGCUUCAAGGUUAGCAGCAAGUAAUUGAUUUUGUCAACCUAGGAUUGCCCGUUU